GGAAAAGUGAGUACCGGCUAGUAUCGCGAGAUCAGGAAGGUGGCCGAGUGUGUCGCCGCGGCCAUCAGGCACUUCUCCUUCCUGCCCUUGUAUGAAGAAGGAUGUGUUUGCUUCCCCUUGUGCCAUGAUUGUAAAUUUCCUGAGGCCUCCUCAGCCCUGCAGAACUGGCUAGAGCAAUGUAUCUUAGGCUCACUUAAGGAAGCUGUAGAGAUGAGCCCAAGGAGGGAAACCAGAAGAGCCCCCCAGGCUCACCAGUUGUUUGUUGGCUCCCUACAAACAUGUCAUUCAAGUGGCUAAUCUUACAACAGCACAAAUUCAUCUAACCAGAAAGAGAAGAGGAGGCUCCAAAGGCACUUGACUACUGAGCAUCACCCUGGACGUGUACAAGUCUGCGUCCUUAUUGUUUUCUUCAUUGGGCCGAACUUUCUGGUCCUCAUCCAACAGCUCUUCUAUCACGUGUUCGAAAGUGUCAGCCAAUGAUGUCAAGCCUCUUGAACCUGCCUUGGGCCCAUUCACGCUCUCCAGAGUCCCAUGGGUCCGCACACCUGGAGAUACUCUAUUAUAGCAAAGAAGAAAGAUAAUUUCAUUGAGCCAUCCUGUUUUACAGCACCCAACAGAAUCCCUUCAAAGCCUCGUGGUCUGACACCCUAUGCUACGUGACUUGUGACCCAUCCAUUUGUCAUGUUCUUCGGGAAUGUGGCUAAGGGGCUAAGAUGUGACUUGAAAAGAAAGGUAGAACAAGAUCAUCUCAAAUUUAUUAUCAAGGAAUAGUUCAGAAAACGACUUCAGACCACAGAGACAGCAGAACAGAUGGUCCGGCAUGGAUAGAGCAUCAGACACUCACAGACUGUGCCAACAAGAGCCAUCGAGUCAAAACAGCCAAAGGAAGGAGGGUCAUGGAAUGGGUUCUCUCACACCAAACUGAUGCCCAGAGGCCCUCAGCAUGAAUAACAAAGGCAACCAGACCCACAAGCCAUACUGAGUGGAUACAAAACCUAUACCUAGGCUGACAUCCCAAAUGUGUGUGGCAAGUUAGAUGAUGAUGGCACAAAAGACAGAACACCUUGCUUCUGGCCAUUGUCAGCUCUUGGAAGAGAGCACACUUUUAGAGGAGCAGCUGCAAGGAGCCUGAGAACAAAACUGGAAAUGUCUGUUAUGAAAGCCUUCACAGGAAAUUCUGCAAGUGGCAACGUGGGUCCAUUCCGUGUGUGUCACUAGAGCUGGCGCAAGCCCAUGGCCAUGGUGAGGCAGCGUUUCCACUGGAACUAAUCUGAUACCUGCACCAGCUCUUGCAACUGUGCAGUGUUCCCACUGCAAACUACGGAUGGGGUAAAAGACUGCUCACCUCCUAUUUCUCAUCUAAUCUCACACACUCUGUUUGAUGAGGCUAUGGAGAAACAGGUCUUCUCAUACACUAAAGGUGGGAGUACAAACAAUUCAAGCCCUGUGCAGGACAAUUAGGCAAUACCUAUCAAAAUUAUACAUGAUUUUUCCUGCUGACCCAGCAAUUCCACUUCUGGGAAUAAUUGACAGAUAUAGGUGCAUAUGUACAAAAUGAUGGAAAGCUCUCUGGUAUAUAUUAGUAAGUGAUAAAACAAGGUGUAAAAUAGUGUAUAUAUGGCUACUACCUUUUGUUUUAAAAAUGGGGGAAAAUGGUGGAGCUUGCGGUGAGCCGAGAUCGUGCCACUGCACUCCAGCCUGGGCGACAGAGCGAGACUCCGUCUCAAAAAAAAAACAGGGUGGGGUGGGGGGGAAAUAAUAGUACAUACUCAUAUUUACCUGUAUCUAUAUAAAACACACUAUCAAGGAUUCACAAGAAACUAAUACAAAUGAUCACCUUAUAGAUGGUAUGUAUUGGGGGAUACUGAGGUGAGCAGGGUAUAAGUGGGGCAAGACUUUUCAGUGUAAACUUCUUUUAAAUUUUAUUUUGAUUUUUGAAUAAUGUAAAUUAACUGUCAAAUAAUUAAAUUAAAAAUAACCAAUUUAUUAACAAAA
rnacentral:lncRNA from 1 species